rnacentral:lncRNA from 1 species
GGGCUUUAGCUCACGGCGAAGAGAAGAUAGAAAUGGGCGAAGUGAAGGGAGAGUGGAUGCGGCGAUCGAUACAAGCAGAUCCAUCCAUGCUGAGCCUGCAGCAGCGGAUCACCAUCCCCAGAGACAGGGAUGCCCUGAUUAAGAGGCCCGCAACCUGGAACCUGGAACCACGGAUGCGUUCGUCGCGUCGCAAGCACUUCGAAGCCCACGCUAGCAUCC